UACGGGGGGGGCAAGCGUUGUUCGGAAUUACUGGGCGUAAAGGGCUCGUAGGCGGCCAACUAAGUCAGACGUGAAAUCCCUCGGCUUAACCGGGGAACUGCGUCUGAUACUGGAUGGCUAGAGGUUGGGAGAGGGAUGCGGAAUUCCAGGUGUAGCGGUGAAAUGCGUAGAUAUCUGGAGGAACACCGGUGGCGAAGGCGGCAUCCUGGACCAAUUCUGACGCUGAGGAGCGAAAGCGUGGGGAGCGAACAGG
rnacentral:rRNA from 1 species